GCGGGUGUAGUUCAAUGGUAGAAUGCGAGCUUCCCAAGCUCGAUACGACGGUUCGAUUCCGUUCACCCGCUCCA
rnacentral:tRNA from 1 species